AGCACCCCCCAUCCAUUAAACCAACCGUAAAAGCUCACCGGGCGCCGCGGCCCGCGCGGAAGAUGUAACGGGGCUAAACCAUGCACCGAAGCUGCGGGCUCGUCAAAAAUGUGUUUUGGGUAGGGGAGCGUUCUGUAAGCCUGCGAAGGUGUACUGUGAGGUAUGCUGGAGGUAUCAGAAGUGCGAAUGCUGACAUAAGUAACGAUAAUGCGGGUGAAAAACCCGCACGCCGGAAGACCAAGGGUUCCUGUCCAACGUUAAUCGGGGCAGGGUGAGUCGACCCCUAAGGCGAGGCUGAAAAGCGUAGUCGAUGGGAAACGGGUUAAUAUUCCCGUACUGGUGGUAACUGCGAUGGGGGAACGGAGAAGGCUAGGUUGUCCGGGCGACGGUCGUCCCGGUUCAAGCAGGUAGGCAGAGUGAUUAGGCAAAUCCGGUCACUUAAUGCUGAGAUGUGAUGACGAACCACUAAGGUGGUGAAGCAAUUGAUGCCCCGCUUCCAGGAAAAGCCUCUAAGCUUCAGGUUACCAACAAUCGUACCCCAAACCGACACAGGUGGUCAGGUAGAGAAUACUCAGGCGCUUGAGAGAACUCGGGUGAAGGAACUAGGCAAAAUGGUGCCGUAACUUCGGGAGAAGGCACGCUGGCGGUAGGUAAAGUCCCUCGCGGACAGAGCUGAAGCCAGUCGAAGAUACCAGCUGGCUGCAACUGUUUAUUAAAAACACAGCACUGUGCAAACACGAAAGUGGACGUAUACGGUGUGACGCCUGCCCGGUGCUGGAAGGUUAAUUGAUGGGGUCAGCCGUAAGGCGAAGCUCCUGAUCGAAGCCCCAGUAAACGGCGGCCGUAACUAUAACGGUCCUAAGGUAGCGAAAUUCCUUGUCGGGUAAGUUCCGACCUGCACGAAUGGCGUAAUGAUGGCCAGGCUGUCUCCACCCGAGACUCAGUGAAAUUGAACUCGCUGUGAAGAUGCAGUGUACCCGCGGCAAGACGGAAAGACCCCGUGAACCUUUACUAUAGCUUGACACUGAACAUUGAGCCUUGAUGUGUAGGAUAGGUGGGAGGCUUUGAAGUGUGGACGCCAGUCUGCAUGGAGCCAACCUUGAAAUACCACCCUUUAACGUUUGAUGUUCUAACCUAGGCCCAUAAACUGGGUCGGGGACCGUGUCUGGUGGGUAGUUUGACUGGGGCGGUCUCCUCCUAAAGAGUAACGGAGGAGCACGAAGGUUGGCUAAGCAUGGUCGGACAUCAUGCGGUUAGUGCAAAGGCAUAAGCCAGCUUGACUGCGAGAGUGACGGCUCGAGCAGGUACGAAAGUAGGUCUUAGUGAUCCGGUGGUUCUGAAUGGAAGGGCCAUCGCUCAACGGAUAAAAGGUACUCCGGGGAUAACAGGCUGAUACCGCCCAAGAGUUCAUAUCGACGGCGGUGUUUGGCACCUCGAUGUCGGCUCAUCACAUCCUGGGGCUGAAGUAGGUCCCAAGGGUAUGGCUGUUCGCCAUUUAAAGUGGUACGCGAGCUGGGUUUAGAACGUCGUGAGACAGUUCGGUCCCUAUCUGCCGUGGGCGUUGGAAGAUUGAGAGGGGUUGCUCCUAGUACGAGAGGACCGGAGUGAACGCACCACUGGUGUUCGGGUUGUCAUGCCAAUGGCAUUGCCCGGUAGCUAAGUGCGGAAGAGAUAACCGCUGAAAGCAUCUAAGCGGGAAACUUGCCUCGAGAUGAGUCUUCCCUGUCGCUUUAAGACAACUAAAGCAACGUUAAAUAAUAAGACUUUGAUACUCUGGGUGUGUAAUAUAAUAGAUACGUUGAGCUAACCAGUACUAAUGAACCGUGAGGCUUAACCUGACAACAC
rnacentral:rRNA from 1 species